UGAUCCUGUAACAUCAUUGAUGCCUUAACCC
rnacentral:piRNA from 1 species